rnacentral:lncRNA from 1 species
AUGCUUGACUUCAGUAGCUUCGCUGCUGGCAGCAGACUGUGUCCCCCAGCACCAGGGAACACAUCAGCUUAUCUCUUUGGUUUGCAGGGCAGAAUGGCCUCAGAGGAUGACUUGGAAGAAAGUGGCACCUCUUCCCCUGCUAGCAGCACCAGCCAGGUGUCCCAGGCUGCACGUCCAGGUGCUUCAGAGAACCUAAGGUGCCCAAUCUGCCGGGCUCCCAUGAAUGACCAAGCCUCUGCGAGCUGGCGUCGGCACCCUUUCUGUUUUUACUGCACGGUGGAGUGGUUCCACAGAAGAGUGGACGGCCUGAUAUGCCAGUCACUCUUCCAACACGCAUUCCACACAGUGGGAGACAGUAACUCUGAGGUGCAGCCCAUCGGGGAGUCCACCAGCUCUGCCAGCCAUACUCUAGGAGUGCGAGCUGGGUCCCGCUCUGCAGAGAGAUGUCAGCAUCAUUCCUCAGGACGCCAGCACCGCAAGUCUCCCAGCAGAAGCUGUGGUGGCAGCCAUGGCGGCAGCUGUAGGGGCAGCCGUGGCAGGGCCCAAGGGAAGAGCCGAAGCAGGUGUCCAAGGAGGCAUCACGAUGGCCGCGCCAGGGCACAGCAGGCCCAGGGCUCCAGCCACUCAAGCAGCAGGAGACGGCAGAGCAGGGCUCAGAACACUGCUCGUGACAAGGGCCAAGCUCCAAGGACCAAACGGCACGUCCGUGCCCUCUCAAGGAGGCGCAAGCGCCAUCAGCAAGAAUACCAGGUCUCCUUCAUAGAACCGAGGGCAGUAAGGAGCCGAUCCCGGCAGAGGUCACGCGGCUCCAGCAGCCGAACACUGAGGGAGUAUCUAAGGAAGAUGGAACGUGAUGAGGGACGAGCUCUAAGGCAUGACUGCUACAUGCGUGCCUCUUCAGGGAGGAGCAGGCGCCAACAGCAGCGGCAACAGGUUUCUUACAGAGAACCGCAGGUGGCAAGGAGCCGAACCCCAAGGAGGUUCCGCAGCACAAUGCCCCUGAAGGAGAAUCCAAGGAGGAUGGAAUACUAUGAACGACAGCCUUUAAGGAUUGAACAUGCCUUGCCAAGGAGGAGUGAGCGCCUUCAGCAAGGACGCCAAGUUCCUUUCAUCAAACCGCAGGUGACGAGCCAACCCCGGGGGAGGUCCCGCAACACACAGCACCAAACACAGCAGGAGGAUCGAAGGAGGAUGGAACGUGACGAGGGACGAGCUCCAAGACCCGAAGGAGACAUCCCGAGCUCCCCAGAGUGGAGUGAGCACCGCCAGCAGGGGCGCCGGAUUUCUUUCACUGAACCAUAG